rnacentral:rRNA from 1 species
UACAGAGGGUGCAAGCGUUAAUCGGAAUUACUGGGCGUAAAGCGUGCGCAGGCGGUUCGCCAAGUCAGGUGUGAAAUCCCCGGGCUUAACCUGGGAAUUGCGCUUGAAACUAGCGGGCUUGAGUGUGGCAGAGGGGGGUGGAAUUCCACGUGUAGCAGUGAAAUGCGUAGAGAUGUGGAGGAACACCGAUGGCGAAGGCAGCCCCCUGGGUCAACACUGACGCUCAUGCACGAAAGCGUGGGGAGCAAACAGG